UGAGGAAUAUUGGGCAAUGCCCGCAAGGGUGACCCAGCAACGCCGCGUGGAGGAUGAAUGUCGUAAGAUUGUAAACUCCUGUUAGAGGGGAAGAAUAGUACCGGUUGGACCGGUAUAUGACUGUACCCCCAGAGAAAGCCCCGGCUAACUACGUGCCAGCAGCCGCGGUAAUACGUAGGGGGCAAGCGUUGUCCGGAUUUACUGGGAGUAAAGGGCGCGCAGGCGGGAUAAAAAGUCAGUGGUGAAAUCCUACAGCUUAACUGUAGAACUGCCUUUGAUACUUUUAUUCUUGAGUUCGGGAGAGAGAGACGGAAUUCCAGGUGUAGUGGUGAAAUACGUAGAUAUCUGGAAGAACACCAGUUGCGAAGGCGGUCUCUUGGUCCGACACUGACGCUGAGGCGCGAAAGCGUGGGGAGCAAACA
rnacentral:rRNA from 1 species